rnacentral:lncRNA from 1 species
CCUGAGUCAACCAAAAAGCACAACAGAACUCAACACAACAAAACACUUUGUUGCUGCUUGAAGGCUGCAGAUAGCGUUCUAACCCUGCACCGUGGGAGGUGUUUCAUCAUCCGGUUUUUCAAUUCCCCUUGGAUUCACUCUUUUUAGAUGCCUAGACUGUGACAGUGUGAGGGAAAGGCUGCUGCCAAAAGUGGAGGACUUAAAGCUGGAGGCCGCCCCAAAGACGGGGAAAUGAAGAAAACGCCGUUUCUGGAGCUCCCUGAGGGAAGCAUGAGGAAUUUCACUGCCUUCCAGCAAUUAAAUUGCAUUCAAGAAUUCUACAGUAGCCUUGGUGGUCUGCAACGACAUUUCAGGGAUUAGAUGCUCUAUCUCCUGUCUGGGUGACCCCAAGAGCUCCAAGCUAAGGUCAUCCUUACUGCAAAUGAUCAGCGUUUCCAAUAAAUGUCCUGGAAAUGAGUUCGGUGCAUAUGGCCUGCCUGUGAACUGAUCAUUGUGGCCAGAGGGAUGGGAUAUGUCGAUUUGUGGGAACCGGGUCACAAGGCCAGCCCUG